rnacentral:rRNA from 1 species
AAUAGAUACCCUGGUAGUCCACGCCGUAAACGAUGAGUGCUAAGUGUUAGAGGGUUUCCGCCCUUUAGUGCUGCAGCUAACGCAUUAAGCACUCCGCCUGGGGAGUACGGUCGCAAGACUGAAACUCAAAGGAAUUGACGGGGGCCCGCACAAGCGGUGGAGCAUGUGGUUUAAUUCGAAGCAACGCGAAGAACCUUACCAGGUCUUGACAUCCUCUGACAACUCUAGAGAUAGAGCGUUCCCCUUCGGGGGACAGAGUGACAGGUGGUGCAUGGUUGUCGUCAGCUCGUGUCGUGAGAUGUUGGGUUAAGUCCCGCAACGAGCGCAACCCUUGAUCUUAGUUGCCAGCAUUUAGUUGGGCACUCUAAGGUGACUGCCGGUGACAAACCGGAGGAAGGUGGGGAUGACGUCAAAGUCAUCAUGCCCCUUAUGACCUGGGCUACACACGUGCUACAAUGGAUGGUACAAAGGGCUGCAAGACCGCGAGGUCAAGCCAAUCCCAUAAAACCAUUCUCAGUUCGGAUUGU